rnacentral:ncRNA from 1 species
GUUGCGGAGUGCUAUAUCAACGAGAGUAGCUUCGGCAAAAUCGGGCACUAUGAAACAACGA